GUGCUCGCUUCAGCAGCACAUAUACUAAAAUUGGAAUGAUACAUAGAAGAUUAGCAUAGCCCCUGCGCAAGGAUGCCACGUAAAUGUGUGAAGCGUUCCAUAUUAAA
rnacentral:snRNA from 1 species